AGAGAUGAACAAAUAAACAUAGAAGAAUUUCACAAUAACCAGUCGUCUAUCAACUUCGUGUUUCGCUACUGGUGGCGGUCCAGUUUCGCCGGCGGGAGGUGCGAACGGUUGCAGGAAGUUUUGAGGAGGUUACUCACAAGAAGAAACCACCCUGUUUUGCGGGAGUAUGAACUGGUAUUGGCUACAACCAAUUACCUGUCCAAAACUUUCAAUUUGGGUUUGACAAAAGAAAUGGGCCGAUCGUAGUUCACCUCGGCCUUUAUUCAUGAUUGUUGGCUUGUUGCUGAGUUGGUUUAGGUCCCAAUUGUUAUAAUAGGUGGUACUCUUUUCUCAGUUCGGAAUUUUUUUAACAGGGUUUUAUACAAACAAGGUUUUAACGAGGCCACCUUUAGUUUAGGUUGAGGAGAAGUGGAGACCUUUUUCCACUUCUUCCAUUUUCUAGUUAUAAGUAUGUACUUUCGUGAAAGUUACAGGCAGCGCAGCUAAUUAGUAGUGAACGCGCUUUUGUUUCCUGACUUUCAUAUUAGGAUGUGGAUUGUCAUUUUGACCCUCCCGUACUUAUAUCUUGUAAUCGUAUCUCAUGUGAAUAUAGUUCCGCUUUAUUCUAAAAAAAAAGAUGAUGUGAAAUUGGGUGCCAGUACCUCUCUAUCCAGCCACACAAACGCAACCAAACCUUAUCCUCCUCUAUUUUUGGCGUUCUGCGAGUCUAUGACUUCUGUCUCUCCUCUCCUCUCCUCAAUUCUAAUCGACCAGUUGACCUCAGUACCUUUCUAUCCAGCCACUCAGAUUGCAAAGGUCUAGGUCAGUAGGCCAUCUAGCAAUUUUGUGGGAUUCUAGAAUUGAGAAAUUGGAGAAGUCGAGCUGUGAACAAACUCAGAGUCACAGACUAUGAUUUGAGUUCAAGGAAUCAGGUUCUCUCCUUCACAUUGAUUUGCUAAUUUUGCUUGAAUUGUCUGGGGAUGUUGCGUGAAUUGAUUUGCUAAAAUUUAGAAGCAUGCCUCCUAAAAGAAAAUAUUUAUCUGGACAUGCAAAACGCUUAAAGAAGAAAAAAGAUGCUAAGUUGGUUAAUUCUUUAAGGGGAAGGCUAAAUGGACUUGCUUUGGUUUCGAUUGAUAACGAAUAUCUUGGAAAAAUCAAUUGUGAUAAGCUAAUUGAUCAGUUUGCAGGUAAGAAGAGAAGGCUAAGGAGAUGGAUUUUCAAAUGAAUAUCAAUCAACACUGCUAGAAUGUGUUAUUUUGAGGGUUUCAGAUCAAAGCAUCUUUUUGUAAUUAUUUUUUGCUACCAACUUUAUGUUUGUAUUGAAUAUUUAGCCUCUUUUGUAGGCUCAUCUAAUGAUAUUGAUUAUACAUUGUUGGUUGUUUGAUUUUA